ensembl:lncRNA novel transcript
GGAGAAAGCAGCCCGACUCAGCCCCGAGAGGUUCGGUGUGCGGGCAGCGGCCAGGGACUUUGCGGGGUAGCGCGGACUCCUGGACUUCCAACAAGGGCCGCUGCGCAGGCGCUGCAAUCACUGCAGGCACUUGUCUGCAUGCCUGGUGGGGCUUGGAGUCUGGGGAGGCUUAUCAGUAAAGCCCAGAGCAUUUGCUAUUUAUUGCUCAAGGGGCACCUUUGUACAGUCUGGCCGUUUGCUUGGCAUGGCCUCUUAGAACUCCUUAUUGUUUAAGAAAUCCGAUCUGGUGAAUAAGAAGUUAGUCUUUCUCUCCCAGUCACUGCCUCCUGGACGAAUAUUUGCCAGCACGGAGGCAGAGAGGACAGAAAACCACAAGCCAUUUGGGGAACUGGGAACAGUUCAGUGUUUCUGGGGUGUGGGGGUGUCAAGGUGGGGGAUGGGGUUGAUGGAAAACAUUUGCAAUUUCUGCUUUACCUCACGAUUCCCAGCUCUGACCUCUGGACCUGUUCUCUCCCACCCCUAACAUAAAUCAUUUUAGUUUC